rnacentral:lncRNA from 1 species
GACUCAUUAGUGUUAACAUUUAUAAUCAAUAAAACCACAGAUGGCUAUUUCAGUAAUAGCAUUAGGGAUGAAAGUGACCUUCUAGGUCAUUUUAAGCUGAAAAAACUGAAGAUCAAAAAAGGAGACAGAACAAGGAACAAUACAUCAAAUUCAAAAGAAGCAGUUUUAUAAUAGAAGGAGGAGAAAAAGGCAGAAAGAGGUCACAGUGGAAAGAGCAAGGAGUCUGGAGCUGUCAUUCUGUGUUGGAACUCUUACUGAAGACACCACCAGAACUUCUGGCUGAGGACUACCAGGAAAUCCAUGUGGAGAUCAGAAAGCCCCUUUCAGGUCCUGAACUGGACUUCACUUUGCCAGAGAAGCACUUGGGGUUGGUAGGCUAGAUCAGGCUUUAUCUCCUUCCUAUAUUUCCCACUUUCACUAUCUCUAUCUUGUUGUAAAUAAAAGCUGCUAACAAUUCUUUUGACUUAGGGGC